UUGCAAAUCGGUUUCUUAAUGAAAGAAGGAAACAAGUGUAAGAUGGUGGGCAAGACAACACCAUUUUUUUUCCUUUUCCUUUUUUUCUUUCUCGGUUCUUUCUUCUUUCUCUUGUUUUCUCCGUCAUCUCUCUUCGGUUCUUCGACAUCUCAGAGGACGACGAUGGUUUGUUCUUCAUCGAUCGAUUGAAGAUCGGAAAUGAUGGUUUGUUCUUCGUCUUCUCUUCGUCUUCUCUUGGUCGAUUGAUGGAAGGUGAGAGUUGAUGGUUUGUUCUUCGUCUUCUCUUCGUUCUUCGUCUUCUUUUCGUCUUCUCUUCGUCGAUGGUUUGUUUCUGAGGCAGAGUUUGUCGAUUGAUGGAAGAUCAAAGUCAUGCAUCAAGAAAGGAGAAGCUGAGAUUCAACAAUCACAAGAAGAAUCAAGUCUUCUUCAAUAAAGGUCAGCUCCAUCUUAUUGUUUCUCUGUUCCAUUGUAUUCAAAGUUCAUAGCUUUUUGUUAGGACCAAUGAACAUAAUUGAUUAACAUCAAUUAGCUCCUUGUGGAUCAAUAAUUUUGGUUUAAUUUAGUUGAUUAACACAACAUUAUUUUGUUUGAUAACACUUGAGGAAGGUAUCUGAAAGAGACAGGACACAACAUGGAGCACGAGUGGAAGAGAAUGAUUCUCAACUGGAGAUUAUACAGAGCAAGGCUCAACUCUCUAUAUAAUUUGUAAAGGAUAAAGUGACUACAGAUGGUGUCUUUGUUGAGGCAGAAGCAUUGAAUUGAAACAGAGGAUGGUUAACAAUCACAUCGACGAGCUUUGUUGAGGCAGAAACAUUGAAUGGUACGAGUAACUCACUCCUUUUGCUAGCUUUUUUCUUUACUGAUGGCGUGAGUUAAUUGUGAUAAUGAAUGCUGCUUACAGUUAGGUUGUGGUUAGGACAGUGUGCUUGUUUAGAGUUAAGUUUGUGGUUGAGUUAAUUGUGACAAUGAAUGCUGCUUAGAGUUAGGUUAAUUGUGAUAACUCAUCUCUAUUAAACCCUGUAGUUACUGCUCCUGCUUUCCAUCUGCUAACCACGUUCAUUGUGACUCUUUCCAUCUUCAAACACAUUUCUUCUUCUUUCUCUCUUCUUUGACAGUCUAGGAUAUGGAUUCAUAUAGUCAAAACUCCAACUUUGUUGAUCUGUUGAACAGUCAACAAGAUGGUUUCCCUCCUCAAACCUAUUUUCGUGAGAGUUGUUCACAACUCCCUGUUUUUAGUACUCAAUGUACUGACCCUUCAAGUUUGCGUGAAGACACACCAUCAGAGAAAAAAGAAACAAAGAAAUGGAGUCUCACCGAGGAUGUUGUGCUUAUUAGCGUAUGGUUGAACACCAGCAAGGACCCUGUUGUAGGAAAUGAGCAAAAAGCUGCUGCUUUCUGGAAGCAUAUAGCUGCUUACUUUGCAGCUAGUCCAAAGGUUCAAGGCAGUGAAAAGCGAGGGUUUAUCCAGUGUAAGCAGAGGUGGCAGAAGAUAAAUGAUCUCGUUUCCAAGUUUUUUGGUUCUUAUGAGGCUGCAACAAGACAGAAGACAAGUGGAAUGAAUGAGAAUGAUGUAGUUAAACUAGCACACGAGAUCUUCUUCAAUGAUCACAAGAUCAAAUUUAAUCUUCAACAUGCGUGGGACGAGCUAAGGUAUGACCAGAAAUGGUGUGAAGCAUCUAGUAGUUAGAUUGAUGGAAGCUAUAAGAAGAGAAAGUGUGACGAUGGUGCUCAGUCCUCAAGCUCUUACGCGACUACCAAUGAUGCUGAGCAACGUCCUCCUGGUGUCAAAGCAUCGAAACGAGGAAGUGGUAAGAGAAUCGGUGAAGCCCUCAAGGGUGUCUCUGAGUUUCAGAACUUGUGGGCAAUUAAGGAGAAAGAUUUGGAAGUGAAAGAGAGACUGUCCAAGAUGGGGCUGCUUGAGACUCUCAUUGCCAAAAAAGAGACACUAUCUGACUUUGAAGAAGCUUUAAAAAAGAAGCUUAUUACAGAAAUGUUGGGCCGCUCAGAGUAGUUUCUGGUUCUGUUUCCGAAGGGUGUUGUGUUCAUCACAUAGUUGAGCAUUGCAGUGGUCUUCUCGUGAUGUGUCACGGACAUGGAAAAGCAGAAGUGUUUUGUUGUUUUCUUGUGUCAGUCUUAUGUCUUUGUUGGUUUGUUGUGUCACGGAAGUAGCUAUGUCUUUCUUGGUUUGUUGUGUCACGGAAACAGCUUGGUCUUUCUUGUUUUGUUGUGUCACAAGACUGCUGUUGGGUUUGUUGUUUUCUACUCUCAUUGUCUUUAAAUGAAAUGAAGUACUCUAGUUUGUAAUGAAAUGAAAGUAUUCUAGUUUCUUUGUGUCAUUUGUA